GGAGUUGUAGCUCAGGGGUAAAGUGCUUGUCUAACACAUGUGAGGCCCUGGGUUCAAUCCCCGGUACUACCA
rnacentral:tRNA from 1 species